rnacentral:rRNA from 1 species
GACGAACGCUGGCGGCGUGCUUAAUACAUGCAAGUCAACUGAACUUGAGGUAGCAAUAUCACAAGAGAGGUGGCGCACGGGUGAGUAACACGUAGGUAAUCUGCCUUUAGGUCUGACAUAAUUCCGCGAAAGCGGGACUAAUAUCAGAUGAUGCAGCGGCUCGACAUCGAGACAGUUGUUAAACCUUCGGGGCCUAAAGAUGAGCCUGCGUCUGAUUAGGUAGUUGGCGGAGUAAAAGCCCACCAAGCCUGCGAUCAGUAGCUGGUCUGAGAGGAUGAUCAGCCACACUGGAACUGAGACACGGUCCAGACUCC